rnacentral:rRNA from 1 species
GACGAACGCUGGCGGCGUGCCUAAUACAUGCAAGUAGAACGCUGAAGGAGGAGCUUGCUUCGCUGGAUGAGUUGCGAACGGGUGAGUAACGCGUAGGUAACCUGCCUGGGAGCGGGGGAUAACUAUUGGAAACGAUGGCUAAUACCGCAUAAGAGUAGAUGUUGCAUGACAUUGGCUUAAAAGGUGCAAUUGCAUCACUACCAGAUGGACCUGCGUUGUAUUAGCUAGGUGGUGGGGUAACGGCUCACCAAGGCGAGGAUACAUAGCCGACCUGCGAGGGGGGUCGGCCAACCUGGGAGUGAGACACGGCCCAGAGUGCCUCGGGAGGCAGCAGGAGGGAAACUUCGGGCAUGGGCGGAAAUCUGAGCGAGCUAGGCCGCGGGAGUGAGGAAGGUUUUCGGGUCGUGAAGCUCUGUUGUAAGGGUAGAACGAGUGUGAGAGUGGAAAGUUCACACUGUGACGGUAUCUUACCAGAAAGCGACGGCUAACUACGUG